UACGGAGGGGGCGAGCGUUGUCCGAAUUUAUUGGGCGUAAAGCGCGUGUAGGCGGAUUUUUAAGCCUGAGGUGAAAGGUUGGGGCUCAACCCCAUACAGUGCCUUGGGGACUGGGAGUCUGGAGGCAGGCAGAGGAGUGUGGAAUUCCUGGUGUAGCGGUGGAAUGCGUAGAUAUCAGGAAGAACACCCGUGGCGAAGGCGGCACUCUGGGCCUGUACUGACGCUGAGACGCGAAAGGGGGGGGAGCGAACAGGAUUAGAUUCCCUGGUAGUCCGCGCCGUAAACGAUGGAUGCUCGGUGUUGGGGGUAUCGACCCCCUCGGCGCCUAAGGUAACCCGGUAAGCAUCCCGCCUGGGGAGUACGGCCGCAAGGUUGAA
rnacentral:rRNA from 1 species